CCCUGUUGUGUGGUUUUGCCAGUUGCCAUAAACCCGUAGAUCCGAACUUGCGGUACAACUGAUUCACACAAGCUCGAGUCUGUGGGUAUGUGUCGACCUCGGCCAAGGCGUCUGGACCCA
rnacentral:precursor_RNA from 11 species